GCAAAAUUGAAAAUGACCCUUUGUAAACAAAUUUUGAAAUUGCAUAAAAAUUGAAAAUUUCAUUACAAAGAAUGUAUACACUAGAAACAAAUCCAACUCGUCUGGAUAAGCUACGAACUGACUCCAUUGCUUGGACUUCCUCAUCAAAUAUUCUCAAAACACGAGAGGAUUCCGCAUUCUAGAACAUAAAAGAAAAACCCUUGAACAGCUAAGUUGUGUAAUCUAAAAAGAGCAACACUGACAACUCAGCAAUUCGGACAGAGAGUUCAUACAGCUCUUCCAAGUAGUUCGACCCUCUCUUGAGCUUCUUGUAUCUUCUUCUGAUGUCUUGAUACAUAUUUAUCCAGACUAGCUUUCAACAAGUCGGCCUCUUCAGCCACUUGUUCCACUUUUCUGCGCAAAAAAUAAAUAAAAACUAUUAAGUGAAGAACUAUGAAUGAAUAUCACUACAACAAAAACUAUAAGUGAAGAACUAUCACGAGAAAAGCCACACCUGUAAAAUCAUAUGACAAUAUUUUAUAAAAAACAAGACCAUCACAAUAAAUAGAUUGAUAACAACAUGAAGAACAAUGCCUAGCUUGCAAUAUAUAUCAAGUUUAUCUUUAGAGAGGAAAAGUAUAAUGCGUAGCUUGCUAAUUGUAGUUAAAUUUUCUUAUUCAUAUUCAGGUGAGAGCAAAACGUGUGAUUUAUAGUAAAUAUCUUCAUUUAUUUUUAUGAACAUCAUCUGAAGUUGAUGAUGAGUGAAAACCUCAUAAAAACUCCAUNUA
rnacentral:lncRNA from 1 species